UGCCCCGUGGUCUAAUGGUACGAUACCAGCAAGCUCUAAUAUUUUGAUCAGCUGGAGAUUGUGAGUUCGAUUCUCGCCGGAGCUU